UGCCCGUUCGAGCGUCAUUAACACCCAUCAAGCCUGGCUUGGUAUUGGGCGUCGGGACCUCCCCGCGCCCCGAUUUCGCCGGCUGGACGACCCCGAUCUCAAGCGUUGUGAUGAAUCUCGCUGGAGGGACGGGCGGCCACGCCGUUAACCUCGUAAUCAAAGUUGACCUCGGAUCGGGUAGGAAUACCCGCUGAACUUAA
rnacentral:misc_RNA from 1 species